AUUGAACGCUGGCGGCAGGCCUAACACAUGCAAGUCGAACGGUAACAGGAAACAGCUUGCUGUUUCGCUGACGAGUGGCGGACGGGUGAGUAAUGUCUGGGAAACUGCCUGAUGGAGGGGGAUAACUACUGGAAACGGUAGCUAAUACCGCAUAACGUCGCAAGACCAAGAGGGGGACCCUCGGGCCUCUUGCCAUCGGAUGUGCCCAGAUGGGAUUAGCUUGUUGGUGGGGUAACGGCUCACCAAGGCGACGAUCCCUAGCUGGUCUGAGAGGAUGACCAGCCACACUGGAACUGAGACACGGUCCAGACUCCUACGGGAGGCAGCAGUGGGGAAUAUUGCACAAUGGGCGCAAGCCUGAUGCAGCCAUGCCGCGUGUAUGAAGAAGGCCUUCGGGUUGUAAAGUACUUUCAGCGGGGAGGAAGGGAGUAAAGUUAAUACCUUUGCUCAUUGACGUUACCCGCAGAAGAAGCACCGGCUAACUCCGUG
rnacentral:rRNA from 1 species